UAUUCACGAUAUAAAACAAACUUCAUUUAAUCGAGACACUGCUUCGAGAGAGCGUGGUUUACUUCUAUGAAUUAUUAUACCCGUCGAACCAGCUUUUUGAGAAGGAUAACUCCUUUCUCUUCCUUCCAAAUUUACACAGACCGAUCUUUUGUCUAUUAUACGAAUUUAUUUGGCUUCUAAACUCGCUAUAAGAAGGAUAUAGUCAUCAUAUAGAUCAACACAAUCUUGAUUUUUAACGAUUUUUUGCCGAACAAGAAAUACAACAAUGAUACAGAGUGUAACAUUACUUUCUUUAAUCGUCGUAUUCGUUAUUGCCGGACCGCCGUUUCCAUUACCAGAUGAAGUUCCCGAGGAUUCUUUGGCUCCUCAAUGCCGAACUCCGAAAUGUCCAGCUGUGCAAGUCAACAGCAACACGCCAAUUACUUUGCCUUAUCCCCUAGACUGCUUGCAGUAUAUUAUCUGCGAAAAAUCCGGUCCUCGCACCGUCGCAUGUCCAGGAGAUUUAGUUUUCAACAAGAAUACUGGUAAAUGCGAUAGUCGACAAAACGCGAACUGCGUACCUUGCUGGCAAGGUUGAGCAAGGAUCUUGAUGCGUUCGCAGAAAAAUUACCAUUCCGCAAGCUAAUUUCUUCGGCAUCUAGAUUAUUCCUGCAAUUUGUAUUUGUAUUUGUCAUUGAGUUUCAAUUCGAAAGAUUGACGACAUGUAUUUUCUCCGCGCUCUUCUGUUGACCUACAACAAACCGUUACUCAACCAUUAAUAGGUUUUCCUCGCUUUGUUCUCUUUAGUUUUGACGUCAGCAUUGUUAACGUUGUGAUACUUGCGCGUUAUUCCCGGUACUUAUACAUGAAAUCUCUCUUUCUCUUUUUCUCUUUAUCAACAAUCCCGUAGGCUUAUAAAUUAAUUGAGAUGUACGUUAUUUAUAAAUAAGACUUUUGCAAUACAUACAAAUAUGAAUUUGUGGAAAAUCGAUAAUACUGCUAUAUUUCUCUACCAAAAUUGUAUGAUAAUGCUUGCACAAAUGAGAUUUUUAAAGUAAAAUCUGUUUUUAAUAUAAUAACAUCGUAACAAGCACAGAACAAAAACAAAUGAAUUUUAUUCAUCUUAUUCAAUGAUAAAUUCAGUGAGAUAUAUAAGUUUUCGUAAUGUUUUACCAACAGUUAUUACAUUUCUAUAACAUGGAAAUAUAAUGACAGUGUAACCUUCAUAAUGUAAAAUUAAAUUUGCCAAACAAUUUGCAAUUUCAGUUUAUAUCAUACAACGAGCAAACUAUUAUUUCCUACAUAAUUUACAUGUGCGCGUGUAUACUUGCUAAAAGAUUUAUGAAGGUUGCGAUUUCGAAAUUGCGUCAUCACACGUAUGAUUAAAUGUCGUCACAUAUCUCAUUCUGCUCGAACUUUACCACACAUUCGAUAGGAGAUCCACUUUCUAUGAAUAUUUUAUCGCUUUCAAUCUGAUUAUUAUUCCGCUUUCCAACAAAAAUGUCGUUCUUCUUGAAAAAAAGAUCGAAUCAGUUGUUCCAUGAAAAACACAUUAACUUCUCGUCCACUUCGUUAAUCAUUAGUGAAUCAGUGACUUUUUUUUUGGAGUGACCGGUAAUCGAUCUGGUAAGGCGAUAUCGUGCGCCUUUCUAUCUAUCGAUAUCUCUUCCUAAACCUUCUGCUCCACCUCCACUUACUUACCCACCCCAGAGACCCUUUUUCCACCUACACACUCGCGUACCACGAGAAUUCGAAAUGUUACUGCAGACGUCAGCCGUAGAUUUUGAUACUAUUCUUUUUGCCACCCAAACUUGAGAUCCGGGUUUUCGUUUUGCAAGAAUUUUUCUGAUGACAUUAUCUGUAAAAUUUAUAAGAUUCCAUUGUUGUGUAUCUCCAUAUAGACAAUUACGAAGAAAAAUGUUUUAUGUUUCUAUGCGAAAAAAUGUAUUAACUAAUAUAACAUUAUGCUAAAUAUCUCUAUAUAAAGAAAACGUUAAAUAUACUAAAAACGUAGUUAAUCAUGCAAAUUCUCGAACCAAAGUAACUUUAUAUCUACUAACACAACUUUUUGUUACGUAAAUUCUCCUAAUUUGUGCUAUUUUUCUAAAUACUUUUUUAUUAUUGACAUCUGAAAAAACGUACAUAAUUGUAUAUCUUGUAUGUGCUCAGUAUGUUAAUAAAAGCAUUGACUGGAAUACAUUUCGCUUAAUUAUAGAUACCGACGAAACAGAUCGCCCGAAUUGAGGCGAAUAGCGCUUGCUGAGAAAUAACGUGUCCCAAAAAAGAGUGACAUUAAACGCCGACUCUUCAUCUCCUGAGGCUGACUCUCUCCCGUUGCUCUAAUCUUCCUCUCCACCGAAUUUCCGCUCAUCCGUUCACCGUUUGUGAAGGGCGAGAGGAGAACGGAGGAAGGUUGCGCGAUCUACGGUCGCGAGAAUUGCAGUCGGGGGGCGCAGACUCGCGGCAACCAUCCAGACCAGUUGUAGUCCACGCCUCCCGCUUGCUCGCCUACAGCUGUGGCGUCGAGGGUUCGCGAUAGAACGAAAA